rnacentral:rRNA from 1 species
CGCAUCUGUGCAUGCAGCAUAUCAAUAAGCGGAGGAAAAGAAACUAACAAGGAUUCCCUCAGUAACGGCGAGUGAAGCGGGAAGAGCUCAAAUUUGAAAUCUUGAAAGGUCACCGUUCACGAAUUGUAGUUUAAAGAAGUGUUUUCUGUUACGAUCGUAAUAUAAGUUCUUUGGAAUAGGACAUCACAGAGGGUGAGAAUCCCGUCUAUGAUUGCGAUUUGUAGCUUUGUGAUACACUUUCAAAGAGUCGGGUUGUUUGGGAAUGCAGCCCAAAACGGGAGGUAAAUUUCUUCUAAGGCUAAAUAUUGGCGAGAGACCGAUAGCGAACAAGUACCGUGAGGGAAAGAUGAAAAGAACUUUGAAAAGAGAGUUAAAUAGUACGUGAAAUUGUCAAAAGGGAAGCGUUUAACACCAGUGUUGUUUUCUGAAAAUCAACCUCUGUUAGCUUUAUGCAUGUUUGUUUAGACCUAAUCAGCUAUCUUGCAUGUUCUAUUGUUUGCAGUGGUGCACUUUUCAGUUUACAGGUCAACAUCAGUUUUUUUUACCGUAAAAAAGUUAAAGAAAGGUAGCUCAUGGCUCCGGUCGUGAGUGUUAUAGUCUUUUUCCUAUGCGGUAGGAGAGACUGAGGUCUGCAGUGUAGGCUAUUUGGCUAGAUACUCAGGUGCUAUGUGAUACCAUUUCAUAAACAACUUGUUGAUUAUGUUUUGUCUAUUGCAUACUCGCUUGUACUAUCAUACCUACGCUUAGGAUGUUGAAGUCAUCGUAUCGCGC